GACAGAGGCCCCAAGCGUUAGGCGGAAUCACUGGGCUUAAAGCGUGUGUAGGCGGACGCCUAAGUGUCUUGUGAAAUCCCACGGCUCACCCGUGGAACUGCUGGGCAUACUGGGCGUCUUGGGCCAACUAGGGGCAGCCGGAACAAGCGGUGGAGCGGUGAAAUGCGUAGAUAUCAAGAGGAACACCUGAGGUGAAGACGGGUUGCUGGGCUGACACUGACGCUGAGUGCGCGAAAGCCAGGGGAGCAAACGGG
rnacentral:rRNA from 1 species